UUUAUUAAAGGCAGCAUCUAAUUAACUCCUUCUCCUGCAGAUUAAUCCACCAGUGGGAACAGCAAUGUUGGAAAAAUGUCAGAAACUACUGGAUGUGAAUCUGGAAGCCUGACAUGAAAUCUCAGCUGAGAAAAGCUCCAAUCAUUGGUGACUCUUCAGUGACCAUUUCUCUGACUGCAGCCUCCUGAAAGAUGUCUUGAUGUCGGAGCCGCAUGGAGGCCUGGUGAUCAGAGGUUGGCUGUCCUGCGUGGCGUCGCUGUGGCCUAGCUGCUGGUCUAAUAGGUUGUGUACGUGACAGCUGGACCGAAGCAGACCAGGUUCUGACCAGGUCUGCUGAUGCUGGGAACCCAUCUGUGGGGCCUCACCUGGUCUCUGCUGCAGGGGAAAUCCUCUUCAUCUUGCUCUGAAGUCAUAAAGUGAUGAAUGUUGAGUGAUCAGAAACAUUUACCCUAGUCAGCCUGAUGGUCCAGCUCCAUCACUGACCUCCCAGCUCCAUCACUGACCUCCUGCCUGCUGCAGGUUUACAGUCUGAAGAGGAAAAGACUGAUUCCAGGUCAGGGGGCUCACCAUGGAGACCGCUGUCUGCCCAGAGGAGUUGUAGACGUGCUCAUUCUGUCUUAUCUUCAUCUCAUGCUGUAAUAAUAAAAUAUUGAUUAAACAUUC